rnacentral:rRNA from 1 species
UAAUACGUAGGGGGCGAGCGUUAUCCGGAUUUAUUGGGCGUAAAGGGUGUGCAGGCGGUUUGCCAAGUUCGUGGCGACAGCCAUCGGCUUAACCGAUGGAGGACUGCGAAAACUGGCAGACUUGAGAGCGAGAGAGGGACAUGGAACUCCGGGUGGAGCGGUGACAUGCGUAGAGAUCCGGAAGAACACCAACGGCGAAGGCAGUGUCCUGGCUCGUCUCUGACGCUCAAGCACGAAAGCUAGGGGAGCGAACAGGAUUAGAUACCCUGGUAGUCCUAGCUGUAAACGAUGACCACUAGACACACGGAGAUCGACCCUUUGUGUGUCGCAGCUAACGCGAUAAGUGGUCCGCCUGGGGAGUACGACCGCAAGGUUA